UAUGAUUCUGUGAUCCUGUGUCCCACAGCAUGAUGGCCACGGGGAUGUGGAUAUCACAGUUUCUUUGCUGUGCAGAAUCCCUGCACGGGCUGGAGCAAAGGUGUGGAUGAACAGAGAGCACCUGGAAGGAUAACUGGAAGCACGUCGGGCUCCAGAAACUAAAACCAGCAGCAGAAUGAGCAGCACAAAAGUCACGCAUGAGAAAUGUUUGGGCUUCAUUUGUCCCUGGCAAAAUGUUGCAAACAGCAGCAUUUCACUAAAACCUCAAUGACAA